UACGUAGGGGGCAAGCGUUGUCCGGAAUCAUUGGGCGUAAAGCGCGUGUAGGCGGCCCGGUAAGUCCGCUGUGAAAACUCGGGGCUUAACCCCGAGCCUGCAGUGGAUACGGGCAGACUAGAGGUAGGUAGGGGAGAAUGGAAUUCCCGGUGUAGCGGUGAAAUGCGCAGAUAUCGGGAGGAACACCGGUGGCGAAGGCGGUUCUCUGGGCCUUACCUGACGCUGAGGAGCGAAAGCGUGGGGAGCGAACAGG
rnacentral:rRNA from 1 species